rnacentral:rRNA from 1 species
UGUAUUUAUUAGAUAAAAAACCAAUGCCCUUCGGGGCUUUUUGGUGAUUCAUGAUAACUUUACGGAUCGCAUAGCCUUGCGCUGGCGACGGUUCAUUCAAAUUUCUGCCCUAUCAACUUUCGAUGGUAAGGUAUUGGCUUAGCAUGGUUGCAACGGGUGACGGAGGGUUAGGGCUCGACCCCGGAGAAGGAGCCUGAGAAACGGCUACUACAUCCAAGGAAGGCAGCAGGCGCGCAAAUUACCCAAUCCCGAUACGGGGAGGUAGUGACGAUAAAUACCGAUACAGGGCUCUUUAGGGUCCUGUAAUUGGAAUGAGUACAAUUCAAAUCCCUUAACGAGGAACAAUUGGAGGGCAAGUCUGGUGCCAGCAGCCGCGGUAAUUCCAGCUCCAAUAGCGUAUAUUAAAGUUGUUGCAGUUAAAAAGCUCGUAGUUGAAACUUGGGCCUGGCUGGCGGGUCCGCCUCACCGCGUGCACUCGUCCGGCCGGGCCUUCCUUCUGAAGAACCUCAUGCCCUUCACUGGGCGUGCUGGGGAACCAGG